rnacentral:rRNA from 1 species
GACGAACGCUGGCGGCGUGCUUAACACAUGCAAGUCGAGCGGUAAGGCCCUUUCGGGGGUACACGAGCGGCGAACGGGUGAGUAACACGUGGGUGACCUGCCCUCAGCUCUGGGAUAAGCCUGGGAAACCGGGUCUAAUACCGGAUAUGACUCCAUGACGCAUGUUGUGGGGUGGAAAGCCUUGUGCGGCUGAGGAUGGGCCCGCGGCCUAUCAGCUUGUUGGUGGGGUGAUGGCCUACCAAGGCGACGACGGGUAGCCGGCCUGAGAGGCGACCGGCCACACUGGGACUGAGACACGGCCCAGACUCCUACGGGAGGCAGCAGUGGGGAAUCUUGCGCAAUGGGCGAAAGCCUGACGCAGCGACGCCGCGUGAGGGAUGACGGCCU